UUUACAAAGUUUUAAAUUAAUAUUAAAACAUAAAUUUGUUAUAUUUAUAAUUAAUAGCAAAAUAAAAAUUAUUUUUUUAUUUUAUAUUUAAUUACAUAAAAAUAUAUUGUUAAAUAUAUUGUUAAACUUUUCUUAAAAAUAUUUAAUUAAAAGCAUAGCAUUAUCUUUAGUAAAACAGCAUAUUUUAUUUAAAAUAUUUAAAUUAAAUAUAUUUUGCAAUCAAUAUAUAUUCAAAUUAUGUUUCUGAAA
rnacentral:tRNA from 1 species